rnacentral:lncRNA from 1 species
CCCUCCGGUAGCCCUGGAGUGAUGCUGUCCUCAUUUUAGGGAUGAGGAAACCAAAGGACUGGAAGAUGCGGACUGUGACUAAGUUCCUUAAAGCACAGCCUGGAGGUGGAGCAGGGACUCUCACCAGGAAACCAACAUCUAAAGAAGUUAAGUGACUUCACAGCUUAAGGUGUGCACAGCUUAACUCAACGCAGGAAUGCCAAGGCCCCUCAAGUCAGCGUCCCUCCACAGGUUGCCCUAACAGAGUACCCCAAACCCGGUGGCUUGAAACAACAGGGAUGUAUUGUCUCACAGUUCUGGAG